AUCCCCGGGCUUAACCUGGGAACUGCAUCUGUGACUGCGAGACUAGAGUGUGGCAGAGGGGGGUAGAAUUCCACGUGUAGCAGUGAAAUGCGUAGAGAUGUGGAGGAAUACCGAUGGCGAAGGCAGCCCCCUGGGCCAACACUGACGCUCAUGCACGAAAGCGUGGGGAGCAAACAGGAUUAGAUACCCUGGUAGUCCACGCCCUAAACGAUGUCAACUAGUUGUUGGGGAAGGAGACUUCCUUAGUAACGCAGCUAACGCGUGGAGUUGACCGCCUGGGGAGUACGGUCGCAAGAUUAAAACUCAAAGGAAUUGACGGGGACCCGCACAAGCGGUGGAUUAUGUGGAUUAAUUCGAUGCAACGCGAAAAACCUUACCUACCCUUGACAUGCCAGGAACUUUCCAGAGAUGGAUUGGUGCCCGAAAGGGAACCUGGACACAGGUGCUGCAUGGCUGUCGUCAGCUCGUGUUGUGAGAUGUUGGGUUAAGUCCCGCAACGAGCGCAACCCUUGCCAAUAAUUGCCAUCAUUCAGUUGGGCACUUUAUUGGGACUGCCGGUGAUAAACCGGAGGAAGGUGGGGAUGGCGUCAAGUCCUCAUGGCCCUUAUGGGUAGGGCUUCACACGUAAUACAAUGGUCGGUACAGAGGGUUGCCAACCCGCGAGGGGGAGCUAAUCUCAGAAAGCCGAUCGUAGUCCGGAUUGUUCUCU
rnacentral:rRNA from 1 species